rnacentral:rRNA from 1 species
UACGGGGGGGGCAAGCGUUGUUCGGAAUUACUGGGCGUAAAGGGCUCGUAGGCGGCCAACUAAGUCAGACGUGAAAUCCCCAGGCUCAACCUGGGAACUGCGUCUGAUACUGGUUGGCUUGAAUCCGGGAGAGGGAUGCAGAAUUCCAGGUGUAGCGGUGAAAUGCGUAGAUAUCUGGAGGAAUACCGGUGGCGAAGGCGGCAUCCUGGACCGGCAUUGACGCUGAGGAGCGAAAGCGUGGGGAGCAAACAGG